CACUCUAAGCGGUGGAUCACUCGGCUCAUGGAUCGUGUGAACUGUAGGACACAUGAAUAUCGACAUUUUGAACGCAUAUCGCAGUCCAUGCUGUUAUGGUACUUUAAUUAAUUUUAGAGUGCUGCUUGGACUACAUAUGGUUGAGGGUU
rnacentral:rRNA from 1 species